ensembl:lncRNA
GAUCUGCCUGCCUCUGCCUCCCCAGUGCUGGGAUUAAAGGCGUGCGCCACCAAUGCCCAGCCUAGGUUUGAAGAUUUUGUUCCAUAGAAUAGGAUAAAUGUGAGGAGUUGAGCAGAGGAAGUGGGUUUUAGAGUCGGAAAGGCUGAGGAAAGCGGAGGCAGGGGAGAUUCAGCACACUGAGGAAGGAGGUAGAUGUGGUUUUGAUGAAGCAAAGGUUGGAGCGCUGCUGAGAAUUUAAGUUCAUGAAAGAAAGAAAGGAAUGUAGUAAGGUCUUGCUGCCUCUAGAGGAGGUACAUCCAUUCAGCAAAUAUCUUGGGAGGGCCAGCCAGCUACUGGGCCUGCUCCAUAACUCUGUCUAGCCCUGCCCCCAUCAGUGGCUUGUUAGGCAGCCCAUUUAGGCAUGGCAGGAAGGUCCUGGUAGUUAACAGCAUAGAACUUGACAGGUCUUGCCUGAAGCUGAUUUGCAAGAUAUACGUGGGUAUGAGCAGAUGGGGCCUUGCUGCUCUCUGCAGAAGACAGCCAGGCUAUUGCAGAUGUAAUGAAGCUGUUCCCUGGCCCGAGGCACAAAUGCGGGACUACAUGCUCUCCCAAACCUUCGUGGUUGUCGCAGGCUGAAAGGAUGAAAAACAUAGAAACAAAAUGAUGCCCAUUAAACACGUGGAAUGGUUGCCCAGGUGGGAAAGGAGGAAUGCUGUCAAAAGUGGGGGACCUCGGAAGAGCUGGGUGGACAUGGUGCCACGGCGCUUCCUAAGGAGAACCUCGCAUGGGCCUCGGUCAGAGUUUAACAGCUGCUGCCCUGGGGGGAACGAAAAAACCCAGAUCUGCAGUAUAGCGAUUUCCAAAAGCUACUCCCUGGCUGAUUUUGAGCAAUCGAGGUAGCCUGGAGCUGCACUUGCCCUCUGCUGGGAAUGUAACUUCCUGUCACUGAUCCCUGGAGACCAGCAAGCAGUUGUAGACUGGGAAUUCUCCGACAAUGAAGCCAACCUUCACAGAACCAAGAACAGGAUUUCCAACCUCUGCACUGCUGACAUGUUGUUCCUUGGACCAACUUUGCUUGGACAUUAAGGGAUGUUCAGCAUCCUGUCCAUCAUGACAACUAAAACUAUAAUUAUUGCCAAAUGCCCCCAGGGAAAGUGAACAAGUAACCCCAAGUUGAGAACCACCACGUUGGAGUGUGUCCAAGGGUUGUCUUUGAUCAAGUAAUUAUGUUGGUGACAUUUUUACGGAGGAUUCCUUGCCGUGACCACAUUAAAAGGCAGCUGUCGUUAGCUUCAGUAGGAGUGCCGUGAAUCACCAUGAAAUGCUCUUAAAUUUUUGCUAGUUUUCAUAAAUAUGUUCCAAGUCCCUCACACUGAAGGCAACUCUUGAGAGAUCAAUCUUUUGCCACAUGCUAUAACCAAACUGACAUCAUUUGUGAUCAGAUGCCUUACUUUGGUUUUUAAAACAUUUUAAGCGUUGUUUUAGUUGUGUGUCUUUAGUUGUGUGUAUGGGGAGUUUGGGUGCUCUGAGACAUUGUAUACCCUGGAGCUGGAGUUACAGGCCAUUUGGGCCACCUGGUAUGAGUGCUGGGAACUAAACCUGGGUCCUCCACAAGAGUAGACUAGCUCUUCACCACUGAGCCGUCUCUCUGGCCCUCAGUUUGAUUAUUCUAUUUUACUGUUUUCCCUUCCUGUGACAGGGUCUCAUUAUGUAGUUCUGGCAGUCCUGGAACUCACUGUGUAGAUAGACCAGGCUGGUCUGGAAUUCACAAAAAGCCAUCUGACUGCUUCUGCCUCCCAAGUGCUGGGAUUAAAAGUGAGUGUCACUACACCUGGCCCAUAGUUUGAUUUUUAAAAACUGUAGAUGGAGGGCUGGAGAGAUGGCUCAGAGGUUAAGAGCACCGACUGCUCUUCCAGAGGUCCCGAGUUCAAUUCCCAGCAACCACAUGGUGGCUCACAGCCAUCCAUUAUGAGAUCUGGUGCCCUCUUCUGAUGUGCAGAUAUACAUGGAAGUAGAAUGUUGUAUACAUAAUAAAUA